rnacentral:misc_RNA from 1 species
GAUGAAGAACGUAGCGAAAUGCGAUAAGCAGUGUGAAUUGCAGAAUUCAGUGAAUCAUCGAAUCUUUGAACGCACAUUGCGCCCUUUGGUAUUCCAAAGGGCAUGCCUGUUCGAGCGUCAUUUGUACCCUCAAGCUUUGCUUGGUGUUGGGCGUCUUGUCUCCAGUUCGCUGGAGACUCGCCUUAAAGUAAUUGGCAGCCGGCCUACUGGUUUCGGAGCGCAGCACAAGUCGCGCUCUCUUCCAGCCAAGGUCAGCAUCCACAAAGCCUUUUUUCAACUUUUGACCUCGGAUCAGGUAGGGAUACCCGCUGAACUUAAGCAUAUCAAUAAGCGGAGGA